rnacentral:rRNA from 1 species
UGAAUACGAGACGCUAAGGCGUCGAAGUAGUGUAUGUCAUACUUCCAAGAAAAGCUUGCACUGUCAUAGAUAAAAAACGCCUGUACCAUAACCGACACAGGUGGGUAGGUAGAGUAUACUAAGGGGCGCGAGAUAACUCUCUCUAAGGAACUCGGCAAAAUAACUCCGUAACUUCGGGAGAAGGAGUGCCUUAUUCGUAAGGUUGCAAUAACAAGAUCCAAGCGACUGUUUAUCAAAAACACAGGUCUCCGCUAAGUCGUAAGACGAUGUAUGGGGGCUGACGCCUGCCCAGUGCCAGAAGGUUAAAGAAGUUGGUUAGCAAUUGCGAAGCUGAUAACUGAAGCCCUGGUGAACGGCGGCCGUAACAAUAACGGUCCUAAGGUAGCGAAAUUCCUUGUCGGGUAAGUUCCGACCCUCACGAAAGGCGUAAUGAUUUGGAUACUGUCUCGGAGAGGGGCUCGGUGAAAUAGACUUGUCUGUGAAGAUGCGGACUACCUGCACCAGGACAGAAAGACCCUAUGAAGCUUUACUGUAACUUGAAAUUGAAAUUGGACUUUAUUCGCGCAGUAUAGGUGGGAGGCGUUGAUUAUAAUCUUGUGGGAUUAUUGGAGCCAUCAGUGAGAUACCACUCUUGUAAUGUUAGAUUUCUAACUUUGAAUCAUUAUCUGGUCAAAGAACAGUUUCAGGCGGGCAGUUUGACUGGGGCGGUCGCCUCCUAAACGGUAACGGAGGCGUACAAAGGUUUCCUCUGAACGGUUAGAAAUCGUAUCUAGAGUGUAAAGGCAUAAGGAAGCUUGACUGUGAGACCUACAAGUCGAGCAGGGACGAAAGUCGGUCUUAGUGAUCUGACGGUACUGAGUGGAAAGGCCGUCACUCAACGGAUAAAAGUUACUCUAAGGAUAACAGGCUGAUCUCCCCCAAGAGUUCACAUCGACGGGGAGGUUUGGCACCUUGAUGUCGGCUCAUCGCAUCCUGGGGCGGUAGUACGUCCCAAGGGUUGGGCUGUUCGCCCAUGAAAGCGGUACGCGAGCUGGGUUCAGAACGUCGUGAGACAGUUCGGUCCAUAUCCGGUGUAGGCGUUAGAAUAUUGAGAGGAGCCUUCUUUAGUACGAGAGGACCGAGAAGGACAUACCUCUGGUGUACCAGUUAUCGUGCCAACGGUAAACGCUGGGUAGCUAUGUAUGGAGUGGAUGACCGCUGAAAGCAUCUAAGUGGGAAGCCCACCUCAAGAUAAGUAUUCUC